rnacentral:rRNA from 1 species
UACAGAGGGUGCGAGCGUUGUCCGGAAUCACUGGGCGUAAAGGGCGCGUAGGCGGCCCCGUAAGCGUGCGGUGAAAGCCCGGGGCUCAACCCCGGGUCGGCCGUGCGAACUGGGGGGCUGGAGCCGAUCAGAGGCAGGCGGAAUUCCGGGUGUAGCGGUGGAAUGCGUAGAGAUCCGGAAGAACACCGGUGGCGAAGGCGGCCUGCGGGGGUCUUGGCUGACGCUGAGGCGCGACAGCGUGGGGAGCAAACAGG